rnacentral:lncRNA from 1 species
UCAUAGACUCUUUGGAUCAUAGAUCAAAUCUUGUUCAUCUUCGGUAUUGAACCUGAACCUCAUGUCUAGUGCUAGCUAGACAUAGUCAAUUAUUUAAUCCCAUACGAUCUAUAACUUAAGUCUCAAUCAAGUUAAUCUAUUUAUUUAAUCAAAUCAUGUACUUUUAAAUGGAACAUAUAGACUUGGGUCAAUUCUUUCCUACAUCGCUUGACUUUGUGUGUGACUCUAUAGAAUCGAACAGUAAGUCGG